CGAACGCAAAUCUUAUGAUGCCCGCAAGCGCGUCUCGUAACCUCCCUCCUCCACUGUUCGUCGAUCGCCUGUUUCGUCUCCCGGAGAUUGCGAUCCUCUUCGCGAGCCUGCGGUCGGGCUCUCGGAAGAUGCAUCACCGUCGAGCUCGCGAGAAGGCGGUGGCUGUCCCCUCUCUCUCUGACUGCUCUCAUCACUAUUUUUUAAAUUAUGAAUAAAUGAGAGAUGAAUUAAGGUUUGCUUGUUGAUUUUAGGGAAAAGGAACCAUUUUUGCGGCGAAUGGUAUGAUUUUUGAGCUCUGCAACUAAUUUUGUCGUCGGCCAAUUGAUGUUGCUGUUCUGAUCGUUCUUCGGUUCUUGUAUCCUCCUUCGGCUAUUAGUUUUUAGCGCCUCUUUAAUUCAUGAUUACCCUGGAUCCAGAAUCUUCGCAAUUCCUUCAUUCAUUCACCGUAGAAAUAUAGUCCUGUUCCUGGGUAACUGAAAACGUUGAGGGCAGGUGUUUUGAGGGCAGGUGGAUUUGCUCAUUUUCUCUUCACUACAAGAAUUUGAUGUGGUGAUUGUUCAUGUUGGCAUCAAAAGUGAUAAUAUCCAAGAUUGUUGUGCUCAUAUCAACCACUUAUGAUAUAUGAAUGAAUGCUACGAAUUCGUUUCCUUUUUUCUUAUAUGAUAUAUUGAUAUGCUGCAGUGCAGAUGGAAGAUAUGGAUUGGUGGUUGUGCUCCUUUUGAGUUUGGAAAUGCUCAUCCUUUCGUUGAAAUCAUUCUCUUGUUUUGAAGGAGACAACUAGGACUAUCUUACUUUGUGCUAAAUUGGCUGUACUGACAUGCUUUUAAACAAAGAGAUUAACAAAAAAAUUUCUUUAAAUAGCUUAUGAGACACACAAAUAUGGACUCGAACCUGAAACUUAUCACUUGUGCAACAAUACACUAACGAGUAAGAUGUUUCUACUAAUAUGCUUACAUGAAGCUUGCUAAAGGCAUAUUGCUUGAUUUUUUGAAUGAGGUUUUUUACUGCUUCCACAAGGACUUAAAGUUUCAUUUACCCAAAGGUGAUGAGCUUCCAUCAGGGGUACUAUCUUAUGAGAGUAUAUGUCAUUGGUAACAAGCAUUUCUGGUGGUUGACUGAUCAAGAUGAUGUCAACAUUAGUUUUUAUCCAUUUAUUUGCAUCUCUGCUUGAUGGUAAUGGCAGGGCACAUCAUUUUUACUUAGUCAUUUGUGUCAGCACACUGGUCAGCCUUUCACCACAAUGGUAAUAGAGUAUCUGAUAUAGCUAAUAAGAAUGUGGUUGACCGAUCAGGAUUAUGCCAACAUGAUAUUUUCACCCAUUUUUAAUAUUUAUGGUAGUAUCUGGGCAUAUCAUUUUUAUUUAGUCAUGAGUUUUGGUAGAGUGAUUAGCCUUUCACCUUUUUCUUCCUCAGGAAAAUCCAGAAGAAGUAGAUCAGCUUUUGCACAACACUUGGUUCGAAAUGCAUGCAGCAGCGUGGUCAGGUUGGCAUUCACCAAAAUCUCAGAAACACUUGUGCAAGCACACAACAGUUAGGAUUUGGUUCAGACAGUGCGCAAAAUAGUGGCACCUCAUUCCUUUCUCUGGCUAAGGGAAGUAAGAGGCUGAGAAGUUAUUACCAUUUGGAGCCUAUCAAGCGAGAUCAAGGCACAGAGCAAGUCAAGCAAGAUCGGGGAACAGAAACCAUCAAAGAAGAGCAUUCUGAUAGACCUGAUGAUGAUGAUUCCGUUACCUUUAUGUUUGACAACAUAAAAACAGAGAUUGUUUAAAUAACAGAAAUAGAUGGUUCAGAUAGUGUGCAAAAUAGUGGCACCUCAUUCCUUUCUCAUGCCAGGGAAAGUAAGAGGCUGAGAAGUGAUUACCAUUUGGAGCUUAUCAAGUGAGAUCAAGGCACAGAGCCUGUCAAGCAAGAUCAGGGAGCAGAAACCAUCAAGUAAGAGUAUUCUGGUAAACCUGAUGAUGGUGAUUCCAUUACCUUUAUGUUUGACAACAGACAGGCAGAGAGUGGCAAAAUGCAGAAAGGGGUGGGGUUGUCAGCGAUGAAGGGGUUGAGAAGUUGGUGAAUCUAAUGCAACUUGGUAAAACUGAAAAAAUAGAUUUGUUUGGUCAGAUAAUGCUUGCGAAUGUCGUUACAGCCACUGAUAGGUUUGAUUGCCUUGGUCAGUUCUCGCAGCUUAAGGGAGUGCUUGUCAUGGAUGGUUGGUUCCAGGAGGUGCAUAAAGGAAAGAGUGGUGAUGGUGGUAGUCCCAGAGGAAGUGAUGAAGUAGUCGAGGAUUUUCUGUCAUCUUUGCUUUGUGCAGUUGAAAAGUUGCCUGUAAACCUAAAUGCUCUGCAGAUUUGUAACAUUGUUAAUUCGGUGAAUAAUUUGUGCAGUCACAAUAAUAUGUAGAUCCAGAGGAAAGCUAGGAGUCUUGUUUGGCACUGGAAGAAACAGGUUGAAGCUGAAAUGUCAAAAAUUGAUGCGAAUUCUGUCAGGCAGCCUGUUUCAGGGCCAGUCAAACCAGGUUAUUCUUAUGUUACUGAAGGAAUUAAGAAAUAAACGCACUGGAUCAACUAGAACAUCAGCAUGCAAACCUCUGCCUGGUAAACCUGCAACAUGAGAUUUUACUAUGAAGUCAAAUUUACCUGCAAAGUUGCUGCUGCUGGUGUGUGUUCAGAGUUGCCUACCAUAACAGUUUAGGAUGAGAAGAACAGUGUUCCAAAUCAGUCUAAAAAACAAUAGCCAAUUUUGUUCUACUGAUCAAGGUUAUCACAGGUGGAAAAAGCAUCACAAUUUGCACAAACAUGUGAAAAACCAUUUGAUAUGCAUGUUGGUGAUCAUGGAAUGUUGCCGCAAACUGAUUGUUAGGAUUCGUAACCCUGGGCUUUGCCAAAGCCCUGUACAUAGUGCCAGUGGCUGCUCUUUUGAGGACCCAGUGGUUACGGGCAACAAGUAGAUCAUAAUGAUUAUAAAUUGAAGGAAGAAGUAGCCAUUCUUGAUGAAGAAACAGCAGAAAUGUUGAGGAAACUGGUAAGGUUGCAGACCCUACUAAAACUGCCUGUUCAUCUUCUCCAAAUGAAAAUGGAGUUCCCUUGACUGAAUUGAGUACAAGAAUUGCUUUUAGUUCUAUGCAUGUCUUGAACCUUCAGCUGUUGAAGAUAAUAUGGGGUUGAAUCUCCUUGCUGCUAUGGAAGCUGAAGAUGACUGACUCAAGAUCUGGGCCGUAAGUUUACAUGAUCCGACGGCCUACAUCAAGUCUGACCGAUCUGGGUCAAUCCCACAAAUGGGCUCUAAUAGUGGAAUGAUAAAGUGAAAGUAUUAAUAAAUCUCUGAAUAUUAGGAUUCAA